UAUUUAUUNUUACUAAACACUNACNUANAGUUUGAUCCUGUAGUCAGAUUGAACGCUGGCGGCAGGCCUAACACAUGCAAGUCGAGCGGAUGAAGAGAGCUUGCUCUCUGAUUCAGCGGCGGACGGGUGAGUAAUGCCUAGGAAUCUGCCUGAUAGUGGGGGACAACGUUUCGAAAGGAACGCUAAUACCGCAUACGUCCUACGGGAGAAAGCAGGGGACNUUCGGGCCUUGCGCUAUCAGAUGAGCCUAGGUCGGAUUAGCUAGUUGGUGAGGUAACGGCUCACCAAGGCGACGAUCCGUAACCUGGUGUGAGAGGAUGAUCAGUCACACUGGAACUGAGACACGGUCCAGACUCCUACGGGAGGCAGCAGUGGGGAAUAUUGGACAAUGGGCGAAAGCCUGAUCCAGCCAUGCCGCGUGUGUGAAGAAGGUCUUCGGAUUGUAAAGCACUUUAAGUUGGGAGGAAGGGCAUUAACCUAAUACGUUAGUGUUUG
rnacentral:rRNA from 1 species